rnacentral:misc_RNA from 1 species
GUUUUAUAAGCUUCUUACUCAGAAAUCUAACCAGAAUAUAAAAGGAAGAAUUUUAAUGUAAUAUUUUUAAAAUUUAGAAAUUUUGGUAUAACAUUUUUAAAAUUUAUGGAUUUUGCAAUAAUAAAAUAAGAUAUGGACGAAAGCUGAGGGAUGACUGCUAAAAAUUACACGCCUUAUUAGCAUCUCUGAACCAUAAAAAGGCUGAAGGAAUCCAUCUCGUCUGUCUUUUUUCGCUGAAUAGUUAUACGAUUUGGGUGUUCAAAUUUUUGUUUUUUUUCUCUUUUUAUGGUUCUGUGAUAUAUUCUGGAAUUUGACGCAAAGAAAAUUUUUGGUAAUAUUUCAAAGGACUUAAAAUCAGGGACUUCCUCGUAUGAGAGUCCAUACAGUUUCAGUGGAAAAGG